GAGUUUGAUCCUGGCUCAGAACGAACGCUGGCGGCGUGCUUAACACAUGCAAGUCGAACGUGAUCCAGAGCUUGCUYUGGUGAAAGUGGCGCACGGGUGAGUAACGCGUGGAUAACCUGCCCUGGUAUCUGGGAUAACAUCUCGAAAGGGGUGCUAAUACCGGAUAAGCCUACGGGGUCCUCGGACUCUGCAGGAAAAGGUGGCCUCUAUUUAUAAGCUACCGUAUCAGGAUGGGUCCGCGUACCAUUAGCUAGUUGGUGGGGUAAUGGCCCACCAAGGCGACGAUGGUUAGCUGGUYUGAGAGGAUGAUCAGCCACACUGGAASUGAGACACGGUCCAGACUCCUACGGGAGGCAGCAGUGGGGAAUUUUGCGCAAUGGGGGAAACCCUGACGCAGCAACGCCGCGUGAGUGAUGAAGGCUUUCGGGUCGUAAAGCUCUGUCAGAGGGGAAGAAAUGAGCCUGGCUAAUAUCCAGGUUUCUUGACGGUACCCUCAAAGGAAGCACCGGCUAACUCCGUGCCAGCAGCCGCGGUAAUAC
rnacentral:rRNA from 1 species